UCUUCGACAUCAUCCGCCGAGAUUCCCACAUUCUGGUUGCCCAAAAAGCCCUGGUGAAGGAAAUUAGGAAGUUUUAUGAUCAGAUAGACAAUAAAUGAGUUGUUACCAAAACGCUAAAAGGAUGCCUGGAAUUAUUUAUCUAUUUGUAAUGGGAAACCGCACUGCUCAGCAAGUUUUCCCCGCUGAAUUCCAAAUCAUAUUCCAGAAUGAAUAGGGAAAAGAAUGAUUCUAGAAAGAUGGUGUCAACUAUUUCAGAUGAAAAUGAACAAAUCCGACCAGGAAUAUAAUUAGACGACUAAAUAAAAAUAUGGAGUUCGUAUGCCAUAAGCAGGGGAAAUGAAAAUAAGCUAAAAAUGAUUCAACUAGCUUAUCAGCUGCUUUUUACCUGGGCAACCUAAUCUGGAGAGAGGAAUUCAUAGACAAAAAAUUUCAGCAGCUAAAAAAAUAAUAGAAGCAACCGACCAAGAAAACCUGUCACUUGGCAGUUUUACUUUUGAACUAAAUUUACCUUGG
rnacentral:lncRNA from 1 species